UACGGAAGGCAGCGGUGGGGAAUAUUGCACAAUGGGCGCAAGCCUGAUGCAGCCAUGCCGCGUGUAUGAAGAAGGCCUUCGGGUUGUAAAGUACUUUCAGUCGUGAGGAAGGUGUUAAGGUUAAUAACCUUAGCAAUUGACGUUAGCGACAGAAGAAGCACCGGCUAACUCCGUGCCAGCAGCCGCGGUAAUACGGAGGGUGCGAGCGUUAAUCGGAAUUACUGGGCGUAAAGGGCACGCAGGCGGUUAAUUAAGUUGGAUGUGAAAUCCCCGGGCUUAACCUGGGAAUGGCAUUCAAGACUGGUUAGCUAGAGUCUUGUAGAGGGGGUAGAAUUCCAUGUGUAGCGGUGAAAUGCGUAGAGAUGUGGAGGAAUACCGGUGGGCGAAGGCGGCCCCUGGGACAAAGACUGACGCUCAUGUGCGAAAGCGUGGGGAGCAAACAGGGAUUAGAUACC
rnacentral:rRNA from 1 species